AUGAACAGAAAGUGUUAGUUAGUAAUAAGGCAUACUUUUUAAAAAAAAAAAUUCUUAGUAAAGGAAUUAGUACCUCUAAAGUCGAGCUUGAUGAAGUUCGAUAAAUAAAAAAAUUAAUACAAUCUAGUAAACCCACAUAAUCGAAUUUGAUUGGAUCAAACCCAGAUCUUGUCGUAGAUGCACCAUUAAGGAGAUCCGAUAGAGUAUCGCACCAACUAGAUAGAUACUAAGAUUUUUUGUUUCG
rnacentral:lncRNA from 1 species